CAAGGGUGUCGCGUAGCUAGCUCGCGGAGAGUUCUUUUGCGAUAGGUGGUUACUCCUCUAUUUCAUAUUUUGUGAGAGAGGGAGAGAUUUUGUACCUUGUAUAGAGAGACCACCUUGUACUCCUUUUAGCACUUGUUAUGGGAUUCCUGUUGUAUUUACCUUAUGUUUUAUUUAGUGGAUUUACAGUUUUAACUUUAUCCCUUGUUAUAGCUUUUAGACAUUGAUAUUGCUCUGAUACUCCUAGAUGUCUUGUACUAUUGCUUUUAUUAUUGUUGUUGCUAGACGCCUUAUGCGUUUUAGACGCAUGGCGGGUCUGGGCACGUGCCGGGCGGGCUUCCGCUGGGUCCCGGGGCGUGACAA
rnacentral:lncRNA from 1 species